rnacentral:tRNA from 1 species
GCCAGUGUGGCAUAGUGGUUUGAGUGUUGGACUACAACUCAGGAGAUCAGGGUUCGAUUCUCCACUUGUC